ensembl:snRNA U6 U6 spliceosomal RNA
GCGCUUGCAUCGGCAGCACAUGCACUAAAAUUGGAAUGGUACGGAGAAGGUUAGCAUGGGCCCUGCGCAAGAUGACACGCAGAUUCGCGAAGCGCUCCAUAUUAUU